rnacentral:lncRNA from 1 species
AUGCGCGGUCGGGGCUCCACCAACACUGCGCACAACCAAGGGCUCCAAUCGCCAAGCACUGGCCAAGUCUCUGCUUUUUCAUUUCCCGGCACGACCGCCAACUGUCCAGACCCCCGCCACCUGCGCAUUGGCCACCCCGCCACUGCCCUGCCUGCCUGGUCUGUCCCCUGCCCCGUCCAAGUCCGUCUCCCACCCGCCCUCCGGGUCUGUCCACCGCCCUGGUCCAGGCCCAUCCACUGCCUGCCUGCCCAGGUCCAGGCCCGUUCCCCUCCAGGCCCAUCCCCUGCCCGCCCUCUUGGUCUGUCCACUGCCCCGUCCAGGCCCAUCCCCCUCCUGCCCGCCACGUCCAGGCCCGUCCCUGUCCAGGCCCAUCCACCGCCUGCCCAGCCGUCCAGGCCCGCCCUGGCCUGUCCCUGUCCAAGCCUAUCCUCCUCCCACCCUUCCUGGUCCAGGCCCAUCCACCGCCCGCCGCCCUGUCCAGGCCUAUCCCUGUCCAGGCCCAUCCCCCUCCCAGCCUUCCCGGUCCAGGCCCGUCCCCCUCCCGUCCGCCCCGUCCAGGCCCAUGCACCGCCCGCCGCCCUGUCCAGGUCCGUCCCCCUCCCAGCCUUCCCGGUUCAGGCCUGCCCACCGUCCUCUGGCCCCGUCCAGGCCCAUGCACCGCCUGCCCCAUCCAGGCACGUCCCCCCUCUGUCCCCCGCCCCGGUCCAGGCCCGUCCCCCGCCUGGUCUGUCCCCCGCCCGCCCCGUCCCCCGCCCCGCCGGGCCUGCGGGGUCCUCCGGGCUCCGCCACCCCGUGUGCCCAGGACCCCCGGCGUCUGGGGUCAGCCCCGCGUCCCCCUCCCCAGGCCGCCCGGCGCCCGCACCGCGUCCCGCCGCCACCACCGUCCUGCCCGCGCCGAGCCCUCCGGAGCCGCCAGGGCUGCACCCGCCCGGCGCCCGCGCCCGCGCCUUCCCGGUGCGUGCACGUGGGCCCCCGCGGGGGCGCCGACCCCGUGGCCGCGGCCUGACCCGCCGCACGGCGGCCCCGACGGAACAGCGAGGCCUGCGGUGA